AGAAUAUAUAAUGGGACAAUUCUGAUGGUGAGGGGAGAGCCAUGGACAGGGAAGACCACUUAGGUGAAGUGACAUUUAUGCUGACACCUGAAAACGAGUAAAGUUAGCUAGAUAACAGCUGAUAGGAAGAGGACUGGAAGUAGAGAACUAAACUUCAAGUCCAGCGCGGCUGGAGGGUAGUGGUGCACAGCGGGAGCGGUUGAGAUCAAGCUGGAGGAGUGCAGCAGCGGGAUAACACAGAGCUUUUUAAAUUACGGGCACAUUUGAGUCUUGGGGUUAGCUGCAAUGAACAUCUCAUGGCAUUUCUCAUCUGUACCCUUGAUUAAGGAUUCUACUGUCGGCUAAAGAAUUUUAGCUACACACUUUCCUGAGGUGAUGAAGCGGUCAGCCUGAUUGAACAUGCAAUAAUGGAAAAGAGAAAAGAAAUAUAAGCUGAUACUCGAAGAGUCCAGCCCGUGUCAACUGAGGUCACAUUGUGGUAAUCAGCCAGUCUGAAGGGUCUCUGAAGGAUUCCCUGAGAUGUGUGGUGUCUUGAAGGGAGGGCUGUAAGGCUGGUUUACCUGGGGCUUUCUCCCAGGGAGCCUAUGUAUACCCUCUCCAGCAUGAUGGUCUCAGAGUGGUUGGACUUUAUUCCUACACACAUUUUUUUUGAUAUUACUGUAAAUGGCAUUUUCUUUUUUUUUUUUUUUUUUUUGAGGAAGAUCAGCCCCGAGCUAACUACUGCCAAUCGUCCUCUUUCUGCCCAAGAAGACUGGCCCUGAGCUAACAUCCAUGCCCAUCUUCCUCUACUUUAUACGUGGGACGCCUACCACAACAUGGCUUGCCAAGCGGUGCAAUGUCUGCACUGGGGAUCCGAACCUGCGAACCCGGGCUGCCCAGAAGCGGACGUGCGAACUUAACCACUGCGCCACCGGGCCAGACCCAUGGCAUUUUCUUUUUAAUUGUGAUUUCUUCUCGUUUGCUGCAUGCCCCUUUCCGUCUCAGGCUGCCUCAGUGAGAGGAGCUGCUGCCGCCUUGGCGUAUCUGCAAUGGACGGUCGGGAGCACUACUCCGGUUUCCUGAUCAAGAGGAAUAAACGGGCGCAUGUGCAGCGCUGACGCCAAUCAUCUGAAGGCCUGCAACUCCUUCCGCUACAAGGGACUGAUUCACUGCAAGACUGCGGGAGUGGAGCAGGCAGCCGAGGACAAGGGUGUGGUGGUGUUCACGAAGAAGAGAUCCGGCCAGCCAAAGCCAGCCACCUUCAUCCUGCAGACCACAUCAACAAGAACUCCUGGGCCACUUUCAGCGGCACCUGGCACGUGAACAGCAAGAACAAGUACCGCCUGGAUCUGCGUGUCUGCCGUCCGCUGAGUCUGCGCAAGCCUUGCGCAGCCAGAAGCCUGUGAUACUGAAGAGGGGGUGGACCAGCACGGAGUCCCAUAACGUCUCCCACCCCAAGCAAUAAAGAUGUCAACCGACUUUUCUCGACGAUGACAACAAAAUAUACAGAAAGGCAGCUGAGUCUUAUUCUGGGCACCGUGGUAAAUUUUCCCAUUAUUUUAAAUAAUUUGCCUAUAGAGUAUUUUAGGUUUUCUAUGUAAAUGAUUAUACUAUGUACAAAAGAGAAUUUUGUUUCUUCUCUUUCAAUACUUAAGUGUAAUUUCUUUUUCUGUUUUACAGCAUUGGCUAGGCCUCCAAUGCAAUAGCACUCUUGUGUAUUCUAAAAUUUAAAGUAAAUUUAUCUAAUAUUUCCCAGUUAGAAUGAUUUCUCUAGAUUUAAAAAAAUAUUCUUCAUGAGGUUAAGAAAGCUCCUUUAUAGUCCUAAUUAUCAUGAAUUAAAAAAAAUCAGGAGUCUUGAAUUUAUCAGAUGCUUUUCCCCUGCAUAUAUUGAGAUGAUCAUUUGGUCUUUAACUUCUAUACUACAUUGAAUUACGUGUAUAAAUUUUUUUUUGUCAUCUUAAACCAUAUUUCUUUUGUGAGAGAAACCCAAUAUGGUUGUUUCUUUAAUAAUUCUUUAAUGGGAUUUUAUUUUCUAAUAUUGUAUUGCUUUUUUUCCCCCCUCGUCUGUUUCUGAGUAAAAUAAGCCUGUAAUUUUUCUUUCUCUGGUAUCGUGGUUGUGAGACAGAGAGCUUUCUCUCUCUGUCUCUCUCACUUAAUGUCUGGAAGAGUUUGUAUAAAAUUCGACUAAUCUGUAUAUUGAAAGUUUUGCAGAACUCCCUUCUUGCCUGUAAACCCUCUGGGGCUAUUUUUUUCCUUGAGAGAAGAUUUUUAACUACUUCCAUUUCUAUAAUGUUUAUAGGGCCAUUUGAGUUUUUUCAUUUUGAAUAGGUCUGUAAGAUACAUUUUUCUAGGAACUUGUCCAUUCAGUAAACUUGAAAAAUUGUUGGCAUGUAUUUGUUGAUGGUAUUUUUUCCCCUUACUUUUCAUGUUCAUUUUAUCUGUAGUUAUACUGUGCUUUAACUUAUAAUACUGUUAAUUUGUGCCUUUUCUACUCUCGGUCAGUCUUAACUAAAGGUGGUUAUUUUGUUAGUGUUAGCUGAGAACUAACCUUUGGCUUUUUAAAUCUUCUCUAUUCUACUCUUGUUUCCUAUUUAAUUAAUUUUAACUCAUGUUUAUUAUCUUUUUUCUAUGUUAUUUGGGAUUACGCUGUUGUUCAUUUUAUAACUUCUUUUUAUUAAACGAUUGGCACCUGA
ensembl:lncRNA